rnacentral:rRNA from 1 species
CAUGCAAGUCGAACGAUGAUGCCCAGCUUGCUGGGUUGAUUAGUGGCGAACGGGUGAGUAACACGUGAGUAACCUGCCCUUGACUUCGGGAUAACUCCGGGAAACCGGGGCUAAUACCGGAUAUGAGCCGUCCUCGCAUGGGGGUGGUUGGAAAGUUUUUCGGUCAGGGAUGGGCUCGCGGCCUAUCAGCUUGUUGGUGGGGUGAUGGCCUACCAAGGCGACGACGGGUAGCCGGCCUGAGAGGGCGACCGGCCACACUGGGACUGAGACACGGCCCAGACUCCUACGGGAGGCAGCAGUGGGGAAUAUUGCACAAUGGGCGAAAGCCUGAUGCAGCGACGCCGCGUGAGGGAUGACGGCCUUCGGGUUGUAAACCUCUUUCAGCAGGGAAGAAGCGCAAGUGACGGUACCUGCAGAAGAAGCGCCGGCUAACUACGUGCCAGCAGCCGCGGUAAUACGUAGGGCGCAAGCGUUGUCCGGAAUUAUUGGGCGUAAAGAGCUCGUAGGCGGUUUGUCGCGUCUGGUGUGAAAACUCGAGGCUCAACCUCGAGCUUGCAUCGGGUACGGGCAGACUAGAGUGCGGUAGGGGAGACUGGAAUUCCUGGUGUAGCGGUGGAAUGCGCAGAUAUCAGGAGGAACACCGAUGGCGAAGGCAGGUCUCUGGGCCGCAACUGACGCUGAGGAGCGAAAGCAUGGGGAGCGAACAGGAUUAGAUACCCUGGUAGUCCAUGCCGUAAACGUUGGGCACUAGGUGUGGGGCUCAUUCCACGAGUUCCGUGCCGCAGCAAACGCAUUAAGUGCCCCGCCUGGGGAGUACGGCCGCAAGGCUAAAACUCAAAGGAAUUGACGGGGGCCCGCACAAGCGGCGGAGCAUGCGGAUUAAUUCGAUGCAACGCGAAGAACCUUACCAAGGCUUGACAUGCACGGGAAGCCACCAGAGAUGGUGGUCUCUUUGGACACUCGUGCACAGGUGGUGCAUGGUUGUCGUCAGCUCGUGUCGUGAGAUGUUGGGUUAAGUCCC